rnacentral:rRNA from 1 species
AACGAACGCUGGCGGCAGGCUUAACACAUGCAAGUCGAGCGCCCCGCAAGGGGAGCGGCAGACGGGUGAGUAACGCGUGGGAAACUACCCUUUGGUACGGAAUAACACAGAGAAAUUUGUGCUAAUACCGUAUGUGCCCUUCGGGGGAAAGAUUUAUCGCCAUAGGAUGUGCCCGCGUAGGAUUAGCUAGUUGGUGUGGUAAUGGCGCACCAAGGCGACGAUCCUUAGCUGGUCUGAGAGGAUGACCAGCCACACUGGGACUGAGACACGGCCCAGACUCCUACGGGAGGCAGCAGUGGGGAAUAUUGGACAAUGGGCGCAAGCCUGAUCCAGCCAUGCCGCGUGAGUGGUGAAGGCCUUAGGGUUGUAAAGCUCUUUCACCCAUGACGAUAAUGACGGUAGUGGGAGAAGAAGCCCCGGCUAACUUCGUGUCAGCCGCCGCGGUAACAC